CCAGACACAACAACCUGACUAAAGAGAGAGACCAGCUACAGACCAGAUACAACAACCUGACUACAGAGAAAGGCCAUAUUUAGUCAAAGCUUUUUGAGAUAUAAACUGAUAAAUUAGAAGUAAAAUCAACAAUAACUAUAUAUCAAUGGGUUUAUGAGUAUAGAGAUAAUGGCUAAGUGUCUCAAUGUUUUCACCUUUGCUGAGAGAGAGGAGAGAGGAGAGAGAGAGAGGUGGAACAAGUAUACUUUUCAUCAGUACACUAAUAUGUGUGCAUUAUUUUAUAAAUAUACCAAUUGUGACAUAAGCUUUAUCUUUCUCGACAACAGACAUUUAUCUUCAACCUCCACCUGAGAGCCUGGAUUGGUCUGACUGACUCUGUUACUGAGGGGCCCUGGAGGUGGGUGGACGGCACAUCACUGAUCACAGGGUGACAGAUUUGACCAUUUUACCAGGUACUGGAGGACAGGACAGCCCGAUGAUAGUGGGCAAGAGGACUAUUCAGGUCCUGAAUGGUUAGGUGAUGAUUCCACCUAGUGGUUAAAGUGAGAGAUGAACUCACCAUAGAAGUGAAAUAGUGGUAUGACAGACUGUCUCAAAACACAUUGAAGAACAGAAUCCUAGGGGACUGACCUUGGUCCCUCUCCUCUAAUAGGGUUGAAAGGAGGAGACGAGAUAACGUCUUAGUGUCAGAGAGCCAUAAAGGAGGAAGAAGAAAAUAAAGAGAAAGAUAGAAAAAUAAGACAAUUAAUUGUUGUGUUUAGAUUUAGAGGAGAGUAUGUAGACAUACUGUACUCUAGAAAAUGAAUCUUCUUUAUUUUUAUUAGAAACAUGUCAUGUGAUUUGCCAUAGACUUAUGCUUAGUAAAAGAAAAUUGGGACCAAUUAUUAACCCAUGCUUAUCACUUGAUGAUAUGAAUAACAAGUCACUUUUGAAUCAAAAAAGGAACAGUUGUCUUUAACAAGGUAUACCAGCUUCCUGGUUGAAUGAGAUUGAAUACUGAGAGGGCACACUCACACACAAACAAAAACAAUGCUAAUGAAAGGUGAGAAUGACUCACAACCUUCACUGUACAAGGGACAACAUGUAGGUGACCAAUGGCGACACCAAGCACCAGAGGACCUGUCUGCUACACACUCAUCAUGGUGUCUAAUGGGGUCUCCACCCUCUCCCUCUCUGUUCUGUCUGUGAACCACAGCAAGUGACAGGAUGUGUCACAGCUCUAUCCACCAAUAAUAAACAGACCUGUGUGUCCUUAAUGGCACCCUAUUCUCUAUAUAGUGCACUACAUAGGGAAAUGGGAUGCCAUUUGGCCACCAGUUACUGAGGGAGAGAGACCAGUUACUGAUGGAGAGAGACCAGUAACUGAGGGAGAGAGAGCUGUUACUGAGGGAGAGAGAGCUGUUACUGAAGGACAGAGACCAUUUAAAGAGUGAGGGAGACCAGUUAAUAAGGAUCAGAUACCAGUUAAAGAGUGAGAGAGACCAGUUAAAGAGGCAGAGAGACAAGUUACUGAAGGAGAGAGACCAGUUACUGAAAGAGAGAGACCAGUUACUGAAAGAG